rnacentral:rRNA from 1 species
UGGGGAAUAUUGGACAAUGGGCGCAAGCCUGAUCCAGCCAUGCCGCGUGGAUGAUGAAGGCCCUAGGGUUGUAAAGUCCUUUUAACGGGGAAGAUAAUGACGGUACCCGUAGAAUAAGCCCCGGCUAACUUCGUGCCAGCAGCCGCAGUAAUACGAAGGGGGCUAGCGUUGCUCGGAAUUACUGGGCGUAAAGCGCACGUAGGCGGUCUUUUAAGUCGGGGGUGAAAUCCUGGAGCUCAACUCCAGAACUGCCUUCGAUACUGGAAGACUCGGA